rnacentral:snRNA from 1 species
AAACGUGAAUGCUGUUUGGACUACGGCAGUAAUCACUCCACUGUUUGCAAGGGUUGAUUGGGCUGACCUGGCCAGGUAGGCCAAUUUCCUCUUUCUCCAUCACCACUAUGUGUGUAUCCUUCCAAGAUCACUGAGCUCUGUCGACCAUGCCCUGUUUACUAGAACCUCUAGACAAGCUCUCAAGAUCACAGCUUUUACAUCUUCUAGAUGUAAAAGAUGACUUUGCAAAUCAAGGAGUAUUAUUU